CCCCUAGAUGUUCUGGGCCGCAUGCGCGCUACACUGAACAGUUCAACAAGUCUUAACCUUGGCCGAUAGGUCUGGGUAAUCUUUGAACGCUGUUCGUGAUUGGGAUAGACCUUUGCAAUUAUGGGUCUUCAACGAGGAAUUCCUAGUAAACGCAAGUCAUCAGCUUGCAUUGAUUACGUCCCUGCCCUUUGUACACACCGCCCGUCGCACCUACCGAUUGAAUGGUCCGGUGAAAUCUCGGGACGGCGGCUUGGUCGCUUGCGUCCGACUGCUGAAACUUGAUUAAACCAUAUCAUUUAGAGGAAGGUGAAGUCGUAACA
rnacentral:rRNA from 1 species